GCCCCAGUAGCUUAGUGGUGGAGCGUGCGGCUGUUAACCGCAAGGUCACCGGUUCAAACCCGGUCUGGGGCG
rnacentral:tRNA from 1 species